GAUCUAGCCAUGGGCAGGUUGAAGGUUGGGUAACACUAACUGGAGGACCGAACCGACUAAUGUUGAAAAAUUAGCGGAUGACUUGUGGCUGGGGGUGAAAGGCCAAUCAAACCGGGAGAUAGCUGGUUCUCCCCGAAAGCUAUUUAGGUAGCGCCUCGUGAACUCAUCUUCGGGGGUAGAGCACUGUUUCGGCUAGGGGGUCAUCCCGACUUACCAAMCCGAUGCAAACUMCGAAUACCGAAGAAUGUUAUCACGGGAGACACACGGCGGGUGCUAACGUCCGUCGUGAARAGGGAAACAACCCAGACCGCCAGCUAAGGUCCCAAAGUCAUGGUUAAGUGGGAAACGAUGUGGGAAGGCAYAGACAGCAAGGAGGUUGGCUUAGAAGCAGCCAUCAUUUAAAGAAAGCGUAAUAGCUCACUGGUCGAGUCGGCCUGCGCGGAAGAUGUAACGGGGCUAAACCAUGCACCGAAGCUGCGGCAGCGACACUAUGUGUUGUUGGGUAGGGGAGCGUUCUGUAAGCCUGCGAAGGUGWSCUGUGAGGSWUGCUGGAGGUAUCAGAAGUGCGAAUGCUGACAUAAGUAACGAUAAAGCGGGUGAAAAGCCCGCUCGCCGGAAGACCAAGGGUUCCUGUCCAACGUUAAUCGGGGCAGGGUGAGUCGACCCCUAAGGCGAGGCCGAAAGGCGUAGUCGAUGGGAAACAGGUUAAUAUUCCUGUACUUGGUGUUACUGCGAAGGGGGGACGGAGAAGGCUAUGUUAGCCGGGCGACGGUUGUCCCGGUUUAAGCAUGUAGGCUGRUUGUCCAGGCAAAUCCGGAUAAUCAAGGCUGAGGUSYGAUGACGAGKCACUACGGUGAUGAAGUAGCUCAUGCCCCGCUUCCAGGAAAAGCCUCUAAGCAUCAGGUAACAUUAAAUCGUACCCCAAACCGACACAGGUGGUCAGGUAGAGAAUACUCAGGCGCUUGAGAGAACUCGGGUGAAGGAACUAGGCAAAAUGGUGCCGUAACUUCGGGAGAAGGCACGCUGGUGUGUAGGUGAAGYCCCUGCGGRUGGAGCUGAAGCCAGUCGCAGAUACCAGCUGGCUGCAACUGUUUAUUAAAAACACAGCACUGUGCAAACACGAAAGUGGACGUAUACGGUGUGACGCCUGCCCGGUGCYGGAAGGUUAAUUGAUGGGGUUAUCCGUAAGGAGAAGCUCUUGAUCGAAGCCCCRGUAAACGGCGGCCGUAACUAUAACGGUCCUAAGGUAGCGAAAUUCCUUGUCGGGUAAGUUCCGACCUGCACGAAUGGCGUAAUGAUGGCCAGGCUGUCUCCACCCGAGACUCAGUGAAAUUGAACUCGCUGUGAAGAUGCAGUGUACCCGCGGCAAGACGGAAAGACCCCGUGAACCUUUACUAUAGCUUGACACUGAACAUUGAGCCUUGAUGAUG
rnacentral:rRNA from 1 species